rnacentral:lncRNA from 1 species
CCCUACUGUGCUUCGGCUGCUACCACCACUGUCUGUACUCUAUCAUUCGGCACUGGGGAGUCAAUGAUGAGCAAAACAAAAGCAGUUCUUUCCCAAAGGAGGUAACAAUCAACUGGAAGAGGCGCAGAAUAAUCACACAAAGAAAGCACUUCAAAGGACAUGAUCAGGUGUGAGUGCAUAAAAGAGAUUCGAACGAAUGCUGUCAUGGUUUUCUCUGAAAUGCCGGUUCAGCUCCAAGUUGAAAAAUAAACGGGAGUUACAAGAGACAUAAAUGCUUGACUUGCUAAAGCGUCCUGUGAUGAAAAAGAAUAGCAUGGGAAGCAAUGUGGUGAAAGUGUAAAAAAC